UACGGGGGGAGCAAGCGUUGUUCGGAUUUACUGGGCGUAAAGGGCGCGUAGGCGGCCACUGCAAGUCAGUUGUGAAAUCUCCGGGCUUAACCCGGAAAGGUCAACUGAUACUGCAGGGCUAGAGUGCAGAAGGGGCAACUGGAAUUCUCGGUGUAGCGGUGAAAUGCGUAGAUAUCUGGAGGAACACCGGUGGCGAAGGCGGCAUCCUGGACCGGCAUUGACGCUGAGGCGCGAAAGCCAGGGGAGCAAACGGG
rnacentral:rRNA from 1 species